rnacentral:rRNA from 1 species
UGGGGAAUAUUGGACAAUGGGCGCAAGCCUGAUCCAGCAAUGCCGCGUGAGUGAUGAGGGCCUUAGGGUUGUAAAGCUCUUUCGCACGCGACGAUGAUGACGGUAGCGUGAGAAGAAGCCCCGGCUAACUUCGUGCCAGCAGCCGCGGUAAUACGAAGGGGGCUAGCGUUGUUCGGAAUUACUGGGCGUAAAGGGCGCGUAGGCGGCCUGUUUAGUCAGAAGUGAAAGCCCCGGGCUCAACCUGGGAAUAGCUUUUGAUACUGGCAGGCUUGAGUUCCGGAGAGGAUGGUGGAAUUCCCAGUGUAGAGGUGAAAUUCGUAGAUAUUGGGAAGAACACCGGUGGCGAAGGCGGCCAUCUGGACGGACACUGACGCUGAGGCGCGAAAGCGUGGGGAGCAAACAGGAUUAGAUACCCUGGUAGUCCACGCCGUAAAACGAUGAAUGCUAGACGUCGGGGUGCAUGCACUUCGGUGUCGCCGCUAACGCAUUAAGCAUUCCGCCUGGGGAGUACGGCCGCAAGGUUAAAACUCAAAUGAAUUGACGGGGUCAUAGCUGUUUCCU